rnacentral:SRP_RNA from 2 species
GGGCAGGCCCUGUGCAACAGAGUGCUGUGAACCAUGUCAGGCGGGGAACCGAGCAGCAUUAAGCGGACAUCUCUGUGUGCCGCAGCAAGCCUGUUCCCA